GAUGAACGCUAGCGGGAGGCCUAACACAUGCAAGCCGAGCGGCAUUUCUUCUUCGGAAGAGAGAGAGCGGCGCACGGGUGCGUAACACGUGUGCAACCUACCUUUAUCUGGGGGAUAGCCUUUCGAAAGGAAGAUUAACACCCCAUAAUAUAUUGAAUGGCAUCAUUUGAUAUUGAAAACCCCGGUGGAUAAAGAUGGGCACGCGCAAGAUUAGAUAGUUGGUCAGGUAACGGCUCACCAAGUCAAUGAUCUUUAGGGGUCCUGAGAGGGAGACCCCCCACACUGGUACUGGGACACGGACCAGACUCCUACGGGAGGCAGCAGUGAGGAAUAUUGGACAAUGGGUGAAAGCCUGAUCCAGCCAUCCCGCGUGAAGGAUGACGGUCCUAUGGAUUGUAAACUUCUUUUGUACAGGAAUAAACCUACUCUCGUGAGAGUAGCUGAAGGUACUGUACGAAUAAGCACCGGCUAACUCCGUGCCAGCCGCCGCCGUAA
rnacentral:rRNA from 1 species